rnacentral:lncRNA from 10 species
CAUUCUCCUUUCUCUUUUUUGCAGACUGACUCUUCAAAUAAAUUAUUUGACCUUCCGCUAUGUCCUCUUGCCAGCAUGUAUAUUCUAUAACACAUUUAAUUCAAUCGUUUCUACAGUGUCUUAAGCAUUUUAAAGUCAUAAGCUCCUUGAGGCAUAGGACAAAGAUAUUUGUUUUGAGUAAAGAAUUCUCAACAAUAACUUCUCCCUGGAAAAGAGAAAAGGAUUUCUUUCAUAAUAGGAGGGAUCUAGGACAAGCUGAAACCAAGAGACUACACUGAGGAGUAUGACAAGUUUUCAGCUUGAGAAGGGCUUGCAUUCUGUAGGAGAAAUGAACAAACAGCAUUAAUGUUGAUGAUGCAACAUGGAACAAGUGCUAUGACAGAGAUUAAAAAACAAGUGCUUGUUCAUUUACUGGAAAGACAGAAGACCGAUUCAGCCUGGAAAGAAAAAUCCCUGAGAAGAUGGUAUGGACUAAACAAAUAAAUGGGAUUUUAACAAAUAAAGAAUAAAAAUUAUUUUAUUUUAUAAAGGGAGGCACAAUAAUCUAAUCUGAAUAUGAUUUGGAUGUGAGUAAGGGUUGCAGGAGGUGAGUAAGGGUUGCAGGAGAUGAGGGAGGGAGUAUGUAGAUAUCUGGGGUAAAAGCAUUUCUGGCUGAGAAGACAGCAAGUGCAAAUGCCCUGAGACAGGAUCAGGGCUUUUGAGGAAUCACAAAAAAACCCAAUGAUCUUGGAAUAGAAUGUGCAAGCCAAAGUGGGUCCAAGACCAGAUCAGAGUGAUGGGAAGCGGAGGGGGGCAGAAUAUGUAGAGCCUGGGAUGUCAUUGUAAGAACCUGGGCUUUUACUCUGAGUAAAAUAUGAAGUCAUUAGAACUUUUGGAACUAAAAAGGGGCAGAACUGUCUCUCUCACUGCUGUGUUGAGAAUAGAAUGAAAGGAUCAAGGACAUAAGUCGGAAGACCAGUCAGGAGACUAUGGCGGUAUUCCAGGUAAAACAUGAUGUGUCUCAGACAAGGGUGGUGGCAAAACUAGUGGGAUUCUUAAAUUUUGGAUGUGGGAUCAAUAAAAAUGUGUUGAUGGAUUGGAAGCAUAAGAGAAAGGGCACCCAGGAAUGACCUUAAGUUCUUGGCCUGAGCAACGGGGGAAAGGAGGUUGCCAAUAAUAACUGAGAACCUGAAGCUUGGAGGAGGAGUGAUACAGGGGACGAGCAGGAGCUCAGCUAUAGACACGCUAAAUUUGAGAUACGUUUUAGUCAUUGUUUGGUGAUAUCAGGUUGGCAAUUGGAUGUACUGGUCUAGAGUCCAGGGUGGGGUCUGGGCUGAAAAUGCAUACUUGGACAUCAUCAAUUUUUGACAAGAUGGCUUUAGAGCAUCAUAAUACACAUUUAGUUGAUUGUAGAAGGAAUAUAGAAUUGUGAUGCCAAAGUUUGUGGCUUGCUCCACCAUGAUGAAUUGCUUUCUAAAUGAUUUUAAUGUUCUCUGUGUUAUAAUGAUGUGGAAUGUUUAUUGGAAUUGCACAUUUGACCGUUAACUUACUUAAAGUGGUAAAACAUUUUUACUCUAAAAAUAAAAAAUUAAAACAAUCACACAUAGCCUACUGCCUAAGUGAUAAUCAUUGCUAAAAGUCUGCUAUAUUUCUUUCCCAUCUUUUUUCUUUGAGUGUUUCUAAAUGUGAAUUUUCUAAAAAGUCUAACAAAAUAAGUUGUUGAUAAGACAAAGCUGAGUUUUCUUUUUUUCAUCAACUUUUAUUUUAAGUUGCGGGGUACAUGUGCAGGAUGUGCAGGUUUCUUACAUAGGUAAACUUGUGCCAUAGUGAUUUGCUGCACAGAUCAACCCAUCACCUAAGUAUCAAGCCCAAUAGGCAUUACCUAUCCUUCCUGAUGCUCUUCCCCUACCCUGACAGGCCCUAGUGUAUGUUGUUCCCUGCAGUGUGUCCACAUGUUCUCAUCUUUCAGCUCCCACUUAUAUGUGAGAACAUGUGGUGUUUGGUUCUCUAUUCCUGCAUUGGUUUGCUGAGGAUAAUGUCUUCCAGCACCACCCUUGCCCUUGCAAAGGACAUGAUCUCAUUCUUUUUUAUGGCUGCAUAGUAUUCCAUGGUGUACAUGUACUACAUUUUCUUUAUCCAGUCUAUCAUUGCUGGGCAUUUGGGUUAAUUCCAUGUCUUUGCUAUUGUGAAUAGUGCUGCAAUGAGCAUACCUAUGCAUGUAUCUUUAUAAUAGAAUGAUUUACAUUCCUUUGGGUAUAUACCC